rnacentral:rRNA from 1 species
AUUGAACGCUGGCGGAAUGCUUUACACAUGCAAGUCGAGCGGCAGCACGGACUUCGGUCUGGUGGCGAGUGGCGAACGGGUGAGUAAUGUAUCGGAACGUGCCCAGUCGUGGGGGAUAACGUAGUGAAAAUUACGCUAAUACCGCAUACGAUCUAUGGAUGAAAGCGGGGGAUCGCAAGACCACGCGCGAUUGGAGCGGCCGAUAUCAGAUUAGGUAGUUGUUGGGGUAAAGGACCACCAAGCCAACGAUCUGUAGCUGGUCUGAGAGGACGACCAGCCACACUGGAAAUGAGACACGGUCCAGAAUCCUACGGGAGGCAGCAGUGGGGAAUUUUGGACAAUGGGCGAAAGCCUGAUCCAGCCAUUCCGCGUGCAGGAUGAAGGCCCUCGGGUUGUAAACUGCUUUUGUACAGAACGAAAAGGUUUCUACUAAUACUAGGAGCUCAUGACGGUACUGUAAGAAUAAGCACCGGCUAACUACGUGCCAGCCGCCGCAGUAA